UACGUAGGGUGCAAGCGUUGCCCGGAUUUAUUGGGCGUAAAGGGCGCGUAGGCGGCUCGGCACGUCCGUUGUGAAAUCGCCCGGCUCAACUGGGCGGGGUCAGCGGAUACGGUCGAGCUUGAGCAAGCUAGGGGCAAGUGGAAUUCCCGGUGUAGUGGUGGAAUGCGUAGAUAUCGGGAGGAACACCAGUGGCGAAGGCGGUUGCCUGGAGCUUUGCUGACGCUGAGGCGCGAAAGCGUGGGGAGCGAGUCCGG
rnacentral:rRNA from 1 species